rnacentral:rRNA from 1 species
AUUGAACGCUGGCGGCAGGCUUAACACAUGCAAGUCGAGCGAGCGGCGGACGGGUGAGUAAUGUCUGGGAAACUGCCUGAUGGAGGGGGAUAACUACUGGAAACGGUAGCUAAAACCGCAUACCAUCAGAUCUGCCUAGAUGGGAUUAGCUAGUAGGUGGGGUAAUUGCUCACCUAGGCCACGAUCCCUAGCUGGUCUGAGAGGAGGACCAGCCACACGGGAACUGAGACACGGGACAGACUCCUACGGGAGGCAGCAGUGGGGAAGAUUGCACAAUGGGCGAAAGACGGAUGCAGCCAUGCCGCGUGUGUGAAGAAGGCCUUCGGGUUGUAAAGCACUUUCAGCGAGGAGGCGUUACUCGCAGAAGAAGCACCGGCUAACUCCGUGCCAGCAGCCGCGGUAAUUC